rnacentral:rRNA from 1 species
GAUGAACGCUAGCGGCAGGCUUAAUACAUGCAAGUCGAACGGCAGCACAGUGUAGCAAUACAUGGGUGGCGAGUGGCGCACGGGUGCGUAACACGUAUGCAAUUUGCCCAUAACUGGGGGAUAGCCCUCCGAAAGGAGGAUUAAUACCCCAUAAUAUAGUGAAGAGGCAUCUCUUUAUUAUUAAAUCUCCGGAGGUUAUGGAUGAGCAUGCGUCUGAUUAGCUAGUUGGUGAGGUAACGGCUCACCAAGGCAACGAUCAGUAGGGGGUCUGGGAGGAUGAUCCCCCACACGGGUACUGAGACACGGACCCGACUCCUACGGGAGGCAGCAGUAAGGGAUAUUGGACAAUGGAGGCAACUCAGAUCCAGCCAUGCCGCGUGAAGGAUGAAGGCGCUACGCGUUGUAAACUUCUUUUCUCUUAGAAAAAACUCUUGGUUUCGUACCGAGACUGAUUGUACAAGAGGAAUAAGCAUCGGCUAACUUCGUGCCAGCCGCCGCGGUAAAAC